GUGAGACUGAUGUGGUGGAAGCG
rnacentral:siRNA from 1 species